rnacentral:rRNA from 1 species
UACGUAGGGUGCAAGCGUUGUCCGGAAUUAUUGGGCGUAAAGAGCUCGUAGGCGGUCUGUCGCGUCGGCUGUGAAAACCCGGGGCUCAACCCCGGGCCUGCAGUCGAUACGGGCAGACUAGAGUGCGGUAGGGGAGACUGGAAUUCCUGGUGUAGCGGUGAAAUGCGCAGAUAUCAGGAGGAACACCGGCGGCGAAGGCGGGUCUCUGGGCCGGUACUGACGCUGAGGUGCGAAAGCGUGGGGAGCAAACAGG